rnacentral:lncRNA from 1 species
AGGUGCCUUCUUUAUUUUUAUUCACAACAGAACACAGAAGUAUAGUUGAGAAAAAACAAAACACAAUCCUGUCGAGAUUUAGGAACCGUACAACCGAGAAAAUCGAAUGAACACGUGGAAAAAUUCUUGUCAAUAGUGAAAUCUUCAAAGGUCUAGCUCGUUCCCUGCACGACUUCGAUUUAAUCCCGGUAGAAUCUUCCCUCUAGCUAUGUCAAAGUUGACUGUUGGCUCUUUUCUGCACAAAUUCCAUUACCAAAAAAUAAGGUAGUAUACCUUUUACUUCACUGGACAGUUCAGCCUUCAACUGGAAACUGAGAGUGUGUGACCAUAGUGAGUGGCAUUUUUUUGGGUUUCAGCACACAAAUAAGGUGUUCUUCACUUGUUGAUAUUUGCUGGCAACGCUACUUUUAUCAGGCUACACUGGACGACACAACACACAAGAAAAUGAAUUUGUAUUGACGUUCGAUCGACGAUACACACCAACAUGACAGAAAGUUCUCCGAUGUUUAUGUGGUCAGUAUGUUAUGAAUGAACUAUGUAUAUUUUUGAAUGAUUUCUUCAUAACAGCCCAUGGAAAAAUGAGGUUGAAGACGCGCAAUGGGUAUCGAUGAAUGAUAUAUCACGCUCGGAUAAUCAAGCGACUUAACAGUUAAAGGUCAGCAGGUGUUUGCUAUUGAGGCUUAUUGGGUGUUAGAUGAUUAUUUACCUAUACCGUUUUCUUAAAGCACGAAGAUGGAGAAGAUGAUUGAGAUCUACCGAGAGAUUGGUGCAAUGACAAGUCUAUUCUACUAAAAAUAUGUUAAUGUGGGUUAGCUAGAAAACUAGCGAUAAUCGCUUUUCGCGGUUGAUUGAAAAUUGGACACUGCACCAAGAGCUCACAUCUACGCAUCACCUGCAAACACGCAUUUAACAAGAUAAAUUGAAGAAAAAGAUAAGGAGACUAAAAAUUGCGUUUUUUUUGUCUUUUCCCUAAUAAUUCGUAUGACAAAUCAUACGAAUUAACGUCUGAUGCAUGGCUGAAUAAUAUAUUCAAGAAAAAUAAAAAAGGCGUGUAACAACGAUCAGAAUAAAGAAGAAGUUUCCGCGUCA